GCUCCCAAAUCCAGUGGUGGGUAACACAUUGCUUCCCAGGACCUGGGAACUAAGUCUUAGAGGAUGAGGAGGGGUUAGCCCAUCAGUGGAUGGUGUUGUGGACAGCAGCAGUGUUCACAAAGGUGCAGCUGAAGCAGAAGCAUGUGAGGGAAUGAUGGACGAGGAGACUCACCCGGAGCAGGGGCUAGACCGGAAGAGGCCGGCUUUGGCUUCUAUCCCGUUCCUCCAACAAUGCAGGCAUUACAGAAGAGAUAGUGCCAUGUGAAGGAGAGACCUCUGCAGUUACAUAGACCUCGGCUGUGUGAUCUUGCACAGAGACUAAGGCUGAAGCUAGAAGACACAAAACAACUCAUUAAUUGAGUAGGAACGAAGCUAGUCGAACCUUUACUUAACUGUACCAACUGCUGACAGAAUGACCUCUUAUACCACUUCCUUUGGAUCCGCCUACAACACAGAGAGUCACUACCAUCUGUAUUCAUGAGGACAUUCUUAAAGCACCUUAGCCUGUUACGGCACUGCAAAGCCUCCAAGUAAAGCAACCUCUUGAACUUUGUUUAAAACAAUAUUUUCUCAACACGGUUUGACAUGGUGGUUCCUAUUGUUUACAGAUCACUGGAAUUCAGAGAGAAUCAGACAUAUGAAACAAAGUUCAGGGAUGUAUGCUGCAGCUAAGCACUUGGAAGAGCGAGUCCGUGGAGAUUAGAUGCGGAAAGAGAAAAUGAAGGGAAGGCGAGAGAAUGUUCGCUGGAAGAGAGCGAGCGGUUGCAAUUUGCACCCCUCCCGCCCCUCGACGCAGGCAAUUCCUCGCACGCACCUGGCGGCGCGGGCCGAGCGGCUUCCGCGCGGCUAAUAUACAUAUUUCGAGGGGGAGGCUGGGCGGCUGCUUCUUCGCCGGGUCAAUGUGUUAAUUAAAAGUUGGUCCGAGUUGGUCAGCACGCAGUCCCAGAUGUGCUUAACAGCAUGCAAUUAACACAUAAGGCAAAUCUUUUUGAAGAUACCAGAAUUGAAAACCCCCCAAAGAAACGCCACCCCGCCCCCGCCCUUAACGUGAAAUAGCAACGGCAAAUAAGGGAAAAGUCAUUAAAAGACGUAAUUAAAUGUGGGCCGCCGUUCUUGGAGGGGGUCGGGCUGGAAAAAA